rnacentral:lncRNA from 1 species
UUUUUUUGAUAUUGAGCAGCAGAAGUUGUUUAUAAAUUUUGGAGAUUAAUUCCUUGUCGGUCGACUCAUUUGCAAAGAUGUUCUCCCAUUCUGUGGGUUGUCUUUUUGUUUUGUUUAGGGUUUCCUUUGCUGUGCAGAAACUUUCAAGUUUAAUUAAGUCCCAUUUGCUUAUUUUUGUUUUUACUGUCAUUGCUCUAAGAGGUGGAUCUGAGAAGAUGUUGCUGUCAUUUAUGUCGGAGAGAGUUUGGCCCAUGUUUUCCUCUAAGAGUUUUAUAGCAUCUGGUCUUAUAUGUAGGUCUUUCAUCCAUUUGUAGUUGAUUUUUGUGUAUGGUGUUAGGGAGUGUUCUAAUUUCAUUCUUUUCCAUGUGGCUGUCCAGUUUUCCCAGCACCAUUUAUUGAACAGGCUGUCUUUUCUCCAUUGUAUAUUCUUGCCUCCUUUGUCCUAGAUGAGUUGGCCGUAGGUGUGUGGAGUUCAUUCUGGACUUUCUAUCCUCACAUUUUAAACCUGUAGCAUAGCAUUUACAGGUUACUGGAUGUUAAAUAUAAAUGUAUCAGUUCCCUAUGAAAUAAAUGCAAAAUGAUAUGUACAUAAAAUUGCAACAUUUAAAAGAGGACCAUUGGAAUGUACCACUUAUCACUAUGAUAUAUAUUGUUACACAUACCGUGUAAUUAUUUUAACAUUGUUGUAACCUAGUUAUGAUGAGAACUCAUGAUAACAUGAGUUGAAAUCAGUGAAAUUAGUGUAUAGUAUCUAUUUGGGAAAGACAAAGGAAUCUUUUUUCUAUCAGGGGAGAGUCAGCACCCUUUUUUCUCUUGGGCAAGCCUCAGAUUUUUCAGGAGUUAGCUACUUCAUUGUUGUUUAUUACUUUUUUUUUGAUUUUUUAAAAAAAAUUUAUUAGGGUAUAACUGGUGUACCAUGUUGUAUUAGCAUCAUGUUUACAAUAAAGUGAAUCAGUUAUACAUACACAUAUAUCCAUCUCCCCCCGUUUAUUACAUUUUAACUAGAUUUUUUUCGUAUGUCUCUGCUUGUAAAUAAUCCAUGUUAUGCAUUACAUUUCUAUAUUAAUUUUCUAUUACUGCCUUAACAAGUAACCAUACAUUUUGCAGCUUAAAACAAUGCAGAUUUGGAGUUCCUGUUAUGACUCAGUGGUUCACGAACCUGACAAGCAUCCAUGAGGUCGCAGGUUCAUUCUCUGACCUCAUGCAGUGGGUUAAGGAUCCCGGGUUGCUGUGAGCUGCCGUGUAGGUCGCAGACACGGCUCAGAUCUGGCAUUACUGUGGCUGUGGCGUAGGCUGGCACCAUGGCUCUGAUUCGACCCCCAGCAUGGGACCCUCCGUAUGCAGAGGGUGUGUUCCCCCUCCAAAAAAAGCAAUGGGAAUUUGUUAUUUUGAGUUCUGUCAACCAGCAGUGACAUGGCUGGGUUCUCUGCUCACCCAGUCACAAAGCUAGAAUCGAGGUGUUGGUCAGCCAGGCUGGGCUCUAAUCUGGGAAUCAGCUUCCAGGCUCACUCAGGUUCCAGUCAGCAGUCAGGUCCGUGUAGGCGUUGGAGGGAGGUGUCCGUGUCCGUGCUGGCUCUGAGGCAGGCUUGUUCUCCGUCUCUAGAGACCCCAGAAUUCUUGGCCUUGGGACACCCUUUCUCCAUCCUCACAGUUGGCAGCCACAGGAAGAAUCCCUCUCAUGCUUCCAAUGUCUCCGGCCCCCAGUCUCCUGCCUCCUCCUCCUGCUUCAGCCCCUGUUCUAGCCACAGCCCACCCAGAUAAUCCAGGUGGUUCUCUCAUCUUUAAGGUCAUGGCUACCUUAAGGUCAGUGCUCUCUGCACAGCCCCUCUUGACAGGUGAAGUCUCACGUUCACAGUCUAGAGGAUCAAGGUUGGGACAAGCCUUGGGGAUCACUUUUAUCUUAACAUCACGAAAUGAAAUACAGCAGGCAGACCACAUGCGCAAAACCAGAAGUUACAAACGCAAUGACCUCUUUUUUUUUUUUUUUCUUUGUUUCUUUUUAAGGACACACCCACGGCAUAUAGACGUUCCCAGUGAGGGGUUGAAUCAGCGCUGCAGCUUCCGACCUACGCCACAGCCGCAGCAAUGCCAGAUCCUUAACCCAGCGAGCAAGGCCAGGGAUCAAACCGGCAUCCUUAUGGGUACUAGUCGGGUUUGUUACUGGUGAGCCACAAUAGGAACUCCCCUACCUGGUAUUUUAGAAAUCAGAUCCUCGGGAAUGUAAGAUGGUCUGAUUGAUUGCAGAACAAGAAAACAGCUAUAAAAUCAGCACUGGAUAUGGUGAUGCUUGAAGCCUUUCAUGCAGCAGAGUGAUCCACCCCAUUCAGGAGGGAGUACCUGCGACUUAUUGCGAUGGGUGGGUGAAAAAUGAGAGCUCGGUUUUUCUCUGUAUUUCCCUUCCUGCCCUGUCUUAUAAAGAUGGAUAGUCUAGAUGUGUUUACAGCCUAAUUUUCUUUGUAUUCCACUUUUCCUUUUCUGGGAAGAAAUGCAGUUAUGUAAUACUUUUGGUUAUCUCAGACAGUGUUCUUAAAAUACAGUGUACAAUUAUAGGACAGAUACACUUACAGUUUGGGAUCUGGUUUUUAUGGGCUCCAAAUGGUCCAGGACUUAAUGCUGCUUGUUUUGAAAAAUGUCUUUAUGGGUACAUGUAAUUCUAAAUUGUUAGAGGCAGAAACUAUUACUUAUUGGAACACUCUGAUGGGUCAGCCGUGUGACACUGAUAGCAUCUGAUUUUUACAAGAAUUGGAUUGAAUAUACAUUAGUUUUUCCACUAUACAGAUGAGGAAACUUAAGUUCAGAGAGUGAGAUCAUUUUCCGGAGGGCAGGCAGCUGUAAGUGACACAGUUGCAUCGGUGAGGGACUCUGCACAGACACACACAGAUAGCUGAGUGUCCUUGCCUAUGCCUGUCUAUAUUAUCCCUCUUUGCCUAUCUGUCUCUGUGUCUCUUAUCUAUCUAGCCAUCCACUCACAUUGUAUUUAUGUGUGUAGCAGAGAUGAGCUUCUUAAACAAUGUUGGUGAAAAUGUAGGUUUGCAUUCCUUUUCACCCUAACUUCCUAUCAUCUCCUUUUCAGGUGGUUGAAAACGGCCAUUUGUAAUAGUUGCUUAUCUAUUGUAUGUGUAUGUGUGUGCAUGCCUGUGUGGGGUGGGGCAGGGGUCGGUGUGGGAGAGAGAGAGACAAAGAGAGAGGGAGGUGAGGAAGAGAUCCCAGAUAACCUCAGAUCUGUUCUAAGGCAGCUCUUGGGUUGGCUCUGGUUUGUACCCAGCCGGGCUAGCAAUGAGGACCGAGCCUCAGAGACCUGCAGAGUGCUGACCUGCCAGGCAGACUCAGAAUGUGGGCAGCACCAGCCAGCGAAGGCAGAAGGAGAGGAACUGCCCCCCAGCACAGAACCUCCAUGGGUACCAGCCCUGAGAUGUUGCAAACGGGUCCUGUCCUUGUGGGUCCAGCGUUGAUGAUGCCCUUUGAGUUUCCCAGAAUACCUUCCAUUUGUUUGGUAGCCAACUACACUUGUUUCUCAGGAGGAAGCGUGUUGAGCUGCUCCUGGUGACCUCAUGACGCUGGGCCCCUUUGCUGUAAAUAAGGCGGAAUGUCCUUGAAGUCGGUGGCAUUUCUUGGUGCCCUUGGCAGAUCUGAACAUCGCAACGGUUUUUCUUCUUUCUCUUCUUUUUUCCUUUGGUAAAUCUCAGCGGGUUCUAUAGCUUGUGUUAUCUCGGAGCCGAGGCAUAAGAGACAUGUCCUUAAGUGGUUAGUUUCCACCCAAUGUUUGGAUUUGUUUUUUUAGCCCCAUGUGCGAGACGCUGCCUGGUGAGGUGGAGGUGAACGUUUUUUUCAUCCCUACACAAUAACGUCUGUGAUUGGCUUUGCCUCUGUCUCCUUGUUAAGGAGGGAUUGUCAGGACUGCUUGCUGUUCGUUGCCUUUGUCUUCGGUCUUUUGUGUCUGAUUGUGUCUUGUUUGUAUCUGUACCAGAGGUGGGAAAGCAGAGCUUGCUUUUAAAACUGCACUUGUGGUUCUGUUUCAGUUUUUAAGACAUCAGGACUUCAGACCUGUGGUGUCCUCGACACACACACCCAAUUCAUGUGUUGAAACCCUCAUCUCCCCCCACCUCAUGAGGGGGAUUAGUGCCCUUAGAAAUGAGUCCCUAGAGGAGUUCCCACUGGCUCAGCAGGUUAAGAACCUGACAUCGUAACCAUGAGGAUGCGGGUUCGAUCCUUGGCCCUGCUCAGCGGGUUAAGGAUAUGGUGUUUCCGAGAGCUGUGGCAUAGGUUGCACACGCAGCUCAGAUCUGGUGUGAUGUAGGCUGUGGUGUAGCUGCAGCUCUGACUUGAUCCCUAGCCUGGGAACCUCCAUAUGCUGCAGGUGCAGCCCUAUAAAGAAGAAAAAAAA